CCUGGCUCCCUUGAACGCUAGCGACAGGCUUAACACAUGCAAGUCGAGGGUCAGCAUGGUUUGUAGUAAUACAGAUUGAUGGCGACCGGCGCACGGGUGAGUAACGCGUAUGCAACUUACCUAUCAGAGGGGGAUAGCCCGGCGAAAGUCGGAUUAAUACCCCAUAAAACAGGGGUCCCGCAUGGGAAUAUUUGUUAAAGAUUCAUCGCUGAUAGAUAGGCAUGCGUUCCAUUAGGCAGUUGGCGGGGUAACGGCCCACCAAACCGACGAUGGAUAGGGGUUCUGAGAGGAAGGUCCCCCACAUUGGUACUGAGACACGGACCAAACUCCUACGGGAGGCAGCAGUGAGGAAUAUUGGUCAAUGGCCGAGAGGCUGAACCAGCCAAGUCGCGUGAAGGAAGAAGGAUCUAUGGUUUGUAAACUUCUUUUAUAGGGGAAUAAAGUGGAGGACGUGUCUUUUUUGUAUGUACCCUAUGAAUAAGCAUCGGCUAACUCCGUGCCAGCAGCCGCGGUAAUACGGAGGAUGCGAGCGUUAUCCGGAUUUAUUGGGUUUAAAGGGUGCGUAGGUGGUGAUUUAAGUCAGCGGUGAAAGUUUGUGGCUCAACCAUAAAAUUGCCGUUGAAACUGGGUUACUUGAGUGUGUUUGAGGUAGGCGGAAUGCGUGGUGUAGCGGUGAAAUGCAUAGAUAUCACGCAGAACUCCGAUUGCGAAGGCAGCUUACUAAACCAUAACUGACACUGAAGCACGAAAGCGUGGGGAUCAAACAGGAUUAGAUACCCUGGUAGUCCACGCAGUAAACGAUGAUUACUAGGAGUUUGCGAUACAAUGUAAGCUCUACAGCGAAAGCGUUAAGUAAUCCACCUGGGGAGUACGCCGGCAACGGUGAAACUCAAAGGAAUUGACGGGGGCCCGCACAAGCGGAGGAACAUGUGGUUUAAUUCGAUGAUACGCGAGGAACCUUACCCGGGUUUGAACGUAGUCUGACCGGAGUGGAAACACUCUUUCUAGCAAUAGCAGAUUACGAGGUGCUGCAUGGUUGUCGUCAGCUCGUGCCGUGAGGUGUCGGCUUAAGUGCCAUAACGAGCGCAACCCUUAUCACUAGUUACUAACAGGUGAAGCUGAGGACUCUGGUGAGACUGCCAGCGUAAGCUGUGAGGAAGGUGGGGAUGACGUCAAAUCAGCACGGCCCUUACAUCCGGGGCGACACACGUGUUACAAUGGCAUGGACAAAGGGCAGCUACCUGGUGACAGGAUGCUAAUCUCCAAACCAUGUCUCAGUUCGGAUCGGAGUCUGCAACUCGACUCCGUGAAGCUGGAUUCGCUAGUAAUCGCGCAUCAGCCAUGGCGCGGUGAAUACGUUCCCGGGCCUUGUACACACCG
rnacentral:rRNA from 1 species